rnacentral:lncRNA from 1 species
GGGAUGGUUAAUUACCCCCUCCAGUGUGAGCUGCUGUGUUCCCUGAGUAUUCUACAGACAGCAGUUACAUUGUAAUGUCCGUAUCCCUUUAGUGUAAAAGAUAUUGGGGGGUUGGUUAAUUGCCCCCUCCAGUGUGAGCUGCUGUGUUCCCCGUGUAUUCUACAGACAGCAGUUACAUUGUAAUGUCCGUAUCCCUUUAGUGUAAAAGAUAUUGGGGGGUUGGUUAAUUGCCCCCUCCAGUGUGAGCUGCCGUGUUCCCUGAGUAUUCUACAGACAGCAGUUACAUUGUAAUGUCCGUAUCCCUUUAGUGUAAAAGAUAUUGGGGGGUUGGUUAAUUGCCCCCUCCAGUGUGAGCUGCU